rnacentral:misc_RNA from 1 species
UUUUCGCUCUCCCUCGCCACGUGUCGUCCUGUCUUUUGCUUGUCUACUUUGGUGUCGGCGAGUCAGUGAUGUCUGAGUGAAAAGAGCAAACCAAACACACUUCAGAGGCCUGCGCGAAAUUGGUGCGGCUGAAUCGUCGUUGUCUCCUGUCACGGCUAAGCAAUGACAAUGAACACAGAAAUGUCUCCUGGUAAACUUCAUUGACACAGUGAGGAAGAGAAAAGGACACGAAUAGGAUAAACCAAAGAAAUCAGGAGCGAAAUCAACGCCAACGAACACGACGCGGAUGCACCAGAAAAAGAGUGAAGCGAAAACACACACAGACCCGCACCGUGCGGUUAUAGUGGCUCAUUCUGCUCUCCGUCCUGCUCGGUGCGCUGCUCCCUGCCGUUGUUCAAACUUAUAGUGAUAUGCCGAGGUGCGGCUAAGCAGAAUCGUGACAUGCUCCCAAUAACAUCCGUACCCGUUCCCUCCCUUUACGCCAGCUCGCAAAGAAAAGGCGUGGGUGAGAGUACACAUAAUGCUGUGAAGUUGUUCGGGCGUCGGAGCAAGGUGAUCGAUACGCACUGCCGCACAAUUGUUUUCACUUUUGCGUCUUGCAUACUCUAUGCCAUCAGCCAUGGUUCUUUCUUGUUUGUCCUUGCUCAUUUCUUUGUAUUCUCGGACACAUCGGUUGUGCAGGCACACGUAUACACCAUACCCACAAGCCGUGCGUACAUGUUGAGCACAUGCGUUUUUUUUUAUUAUUGUUUUCGUAGUUCUGUUUUUGCUUCCGUUGUGUUUCUCAGGCCCCUUCGUCGCUCUGACCAUCUCUCACUCUCCUGAUCUCACUGUGUCUUUGUCUGCUUCUUCAGCAGCCAGAGAGAACGCGGAAGAGAUGGACAAAAAAGGGAUCGACUCAGGCUUUCAUUUUUUUUUCUCUUGGAGCUAAUAUCGGCGCUGUGGUGCUCUCUGUCCAUUCUCGUUCUUUCAUCCAUUAUUCUCCCAUUGCCAGGCAAACGCGCCGAAAAAAAAGAAAGUCGGAGACCAUUCACAGCUUCAAGGCACAGUGGCUGCAUCAAGCAACCGAUCUGCGCCGUUGUGUGUGUGUGUGUGUGCCUGCGCACCUUCAGGUUGUAGCGACCGAUCUUUUCUUGAUCACUUCGCGGCCUCUCUUUGUGAGAGUGUGCGCCUCUGUAUAUGUCUGUGUUUCAGGAGGAUUGUGCUUCUACUGGGGCACAUGGUGUUCCCUUAUGAAUGCUCCCCUGUUCUUUGCACCGCGUAUUGUGAUGUCUUGACGCGGAGCAACACAGCGCUCAAGCCG